rnacentral:tRNA from 1 species
GCUCAUGAUGGAUAGCUCAGUCAGUAGAGCAUGAGAUUCUUAAUCUGGGGGUUGUGGGUUCAAACCCCACAUUGGGCA